rnacentral:rRNA from 1 species
AGCCGCGAACGGGUGAGUAACACGUGGGUUACCUGCCUUGAUGACCGGGACAACCCGAGGAAACUCGGGCUAAUACCGGAUGUGCCCGCAAGGGGAAAGGAAGCUUCGGCCUCCGCAUCAAGAUGGGCCCGCGGCCCAUUAGCUUGUUGGUGAGGUAACGGCUCACCAAGGCUUCGAUGGGUAGCUGGUCUGAGAGGACGAUCAGCCACACUGGGACUGAGACACGGCCCAG